CAGCAGCCGCGGGAAUACGAAGGGUGCAAGCGUUACUCGGAAUUACUGGGCGUAAAGCGUGCGUAGGUGGUGGUUUAAGUCUGCUGUGAAAUCCCCGGGCUCAACCUGGGAAUGGCAGUGGAUACUGGCUCGCUAGAGUGUGUCAGAGGAUGGUGGAAUUCCCGGUGUAGCGGUGAAAUGCGUAGAGAUCGGGAGGAACAUCAGUGGCGAAGGCGGCCAUCUGGGACAACACUGACGCUGAGGCACGAAAGCGUGGGGAGCAAACAGGAUUAGAUACCCCUGUAGUCCCUGUCUCUUAUAC
rnacentral:rRNA from 1 species